rnacentral:rRNA from 1 species
GAUGAACGCUGGCGGUAUGCCUAACACAUGCAAGUCGUACGAGAGUUUUUAACUCUAGUGGCGGACGGGUGAGUAACACGUGAGAAUUUGCCUUUAGGAGGGGAUAACAAUUGGAAACGAAUGCUAAUACCCCAUAUGCUUUUGAGUGAAAUGGAUUUUAUCCGCCUAGAGAGAAGCUCGCGGCUGAUUAGCUUGUUGGUAAGGUAAGAGCUUACCAAGGCGACGAUCAGUAUCUGGUUUGAGAGGACGAUCAGACACACUGGAACUGAGACACGGUCCAGACUCCUACGGGAGGCAGCAGUGGGGAAUUUUCCGCAAUGGGCGAAAGCCUGACGGAGCAAUACCGCGUGAGGGAAGAAUGCCUAUGGGUUGUAAACCUCUUUUUUCAGGGAGGAAUCAAAUGACGUGUACCUGAAGAAUAAGCAUCGGCUAACUCGUCAGAUG